rnacentral:rRNA from 1 species
UCAGGUGGGAUUACCCGCUGAACUUAAGCAUAUCAAUAAGCGGAGGAAAAGAAACUAACCAGGAUUCCCCUAGUAACGGCGAGUGAAGAGGGAAAAGCCCAAAUUUGUAAUCUGGCUCUUUUAGAGUCCGAGUUGUAAUUUUGAGAACUGUUUUCCGUGCUGGACCAUGUAUAAGUCUGUUGGAAAACAGCAUCAUUGAGGGUGAAAAUCCCGUUUAUGAUAUGGACUACCAGUGCAAUGUGAUACAGUCUCUAAGAGUCGAGUUGUUUGGGAAUGCAGCUCAAAGUGGGUGGUAAAUUCCAUCUAAGGCUAAAUAUUGGUGAGAGACCGAUAGCAAACAAGUACCGUGAGGGAAAGAUGAAAAGAACUUUGGAAAGAGAGUUAACAGUACGUGAAAUUGUUAAAAGGGAAACAUUUGAAGUUAGACUUGUUAUUGUUGGUUCAGCCUUUUAUAGGGUGUAUUCCGAUGGUUAACAGACCAGCAUCAAUUUUUGGGUGAUGGAUAAGGGUCUUGGAAAUGUAGCAAUCUUUGGUUGUGUUAUAGUCCUUGACUUUGAUACAUUGCUUAGGAUUGAGGAACGCAGUAAGCUGAAUUAAUUUUUAGUGAAUCUCUUUUGAGAUUUUCUUACUACGGAUGUUGGUGUAAUAGCUUAAAAUGACCCAAAAAA